GGUUGAUCCUGCCAGUAGUCAUAUGCUUGUCUUAAAGAUUAAGCCAUGCAUGUCUAAGUAUAAAUAGUAUACAGUGAAACUGCGAAUGGCUCAUUAAAACAGUUAUAGUUUAUUUGAUAAUUGAAUUAUACAUGGAUAACCGUGGUAAUUCUAGAGCUAAUACAUGCAGUAAAACCUGACUUUUUGGAAAGGUUGUAUUUAUUAGAUAUCAAACCAAUAUUCCUUCGGGUCUAUUGUGAUGAUUCAUAAUAACUGAUCGAAGCUUAGCUAGUCUAAGCUAAAUCAUUCAAGUUUCUGCCCUAUCAGCUUUCGAUGGUAGUGUAUUGGACUACCAUGGCAGUCACGGGUAACGGGGAAUUAGGGUUCGAUUCCGGAGAGGGAGCCUGAGAAACGGCUACCACAUCUAAGGAAGGCAGCAGGCGCGUAAAUUACCCAAUCCUGACUCAGGGAGGUAGUGACAAGAAAUAACAACUCGGGGCCUCACGGCUUACGAGAUUGCAAUGAGAACAAUUUAAACCACUUAUCUAGGAACAAUUGGAGGGCAAGUCUGGUGCCAGCAGCCGCGGUAAUUCCAGCUCCAAUAGCGUAUAUUAAUGUUGUUGCAGUUAAAAAGCUCGUAGUUGAAUUUCUGAUUAAAAUAUUAGCUGGCUUCUGUCGUUAAUAUUUUAAUCAUCCGUUUGAGAACUAUAGAGGUCCUUAAUCGGUCACUAUAGAGAUCAAACAUUUUACUUUGAAAAAAUUAGAGUGUUCAAGGCAGAUAAUCGUCAUGAAUACUAUAGCAUGGAAUAAUGGAAUAGGACUUUGGUUCAUUUUAUUGGUUAUUGAACCUUAGUAAUGAUUAAAAGGGACAGUUGGGGGCAUUAGUAUUUAAUUGUCAGAGGUGAAAUUCUUGGAUUUAUUAAAGACUAACUUAUGCGAAAGCAUUUGCCAAGGAUGUUUUCAUUAAUCAAGAACGAAAGUUAGGGGAUCAAAGACGAUCAGAUACCGUCCUAGUCUUAACUAUAAACUAUACCGACGAGGGAUCAGCCACCUUUAUUUUACCUUGGCUGGCAACUUAUCAGCAAUCAAAGUCUUUGGCUUCUGCGGGGAGUAUGGUGGCAAAGCUGAAACUUAAAGGAAUUG
rnacentral:rRNA from 1 species